UACGUAGGGUGCAAGCGUUAUCCGGAAUCAUUGGGCGUAAAGAGCUCGUAGGCGGUUCAACGAGUCGACUGUGAAAGUCCGAGGCUUAACCUCGGAAUUGCAGUCGAUACUGUUGUGGCUCGAGUCCGGUAGAGGAGAAUGGAAUUCCCGGUGUAGCGGUGAAAUGCGCAGAUAUCGGGAGGAACACCAGUAGCGAAGGCGGUUCUCUGGGCCGGCACUGACACUGGGGUGCGAAAGCGUGGGUAGCAAACAGG
rnacentral:misc_RNA from 1 species